AUUGAACGCUGGCGGCAGGCCUAACACAUGCAAGUCGAGCGCGCGACGGACGGGUGAGUAAUAUAUGGGGGCUGCCCGAUAGGGAGGGAGAACGACUGGAAACGGUAGCUAAUACCGCAUACUAUCGGAUAACUCCUAUGGGAUUAGCUAGUAGGUUAGGUAAUGGCUAACCCAGGCGACGAUCCCUAGCUGGUCUGAGAGGAUGAUCCGGCACACUGGAACGGAGACACGGCCCAGACUCCUACGGAGGCAGCAGUGGGGAAUAUUGCCCAAUGGGCGCAAGCCUGAUGCAGCCAUGCCGCGUGUAUGAAGAAGGCCCUAGGGUUGUAAAGUACUUUCAGUCGGGAGGCGUUACCGACAGAAGAAGCACCGGCUAACUCCGUGCCAGCAGCCGCGGUAAUUC
rnacentral:rRNA from 1 species